rnacentral:rRNA from 1 species
GGAUUAGAUACCCUGGUAGUCCACGCAGUAAACGGUGAUCACUAGGUGUAGCGGGUAUUGACCCCUGCUGUGCCGCAGUUAACGCAUUAAGUGAUCCGCCUGGGGAGUACGGCCGCAAGGUUAAAACUCAAAGGAAUUGACGGGGGCCCGCACAAGCGGUGGAGCAUGUGGUUUAAUUCGACGCAACGCGAAGAACCUUACCUGGAUUUGACAUCUCGGGAAUCUUUAUGAAAAUAGAGGGUGCCCUUCGGGGAGCCCGAUGACAGGUGCUGCAUGGCUGUCGUCAGCUCGUGCCG